GAUGAACGCUGGCGGCGUGCCUAAUACAUGCAAGUCGAGCGAACGGACGAGAAGCUUGCUUCUUUGAUGUUAGCGGCGGACGGGUGAGUAACACGUGGAUAACCUACCUAUAAGACUGGGAUAACUGCGGGAAACCGUAGCUAAUACCGGAUAAUAUUUUGAACCGCAGGGUUCAAAAGUGUAUGACGGUCUUGCCGUCCCUUAUAGAAGGAUCCGCGCUGCAUUAGCUAGUUGGUAAGGUAACGGCUUACCAAGGCAACGAUGCAUAGCCGACCUGAGAGGGUGAUCGGCCACACUGGAACUGAGACACGGUCCAGACUCCGACGGGAGGCAGCAGUAGGGAAUCUUCCGCUAUGGGCGAAAGCCUGACGGAGCAACGCCGCGUGAGUGAUGAAGGUCUUCGGAUCGUAAAACUCUGUUAUUAGGGAAGAACAUAUGUGUAAGUAACUGUGCACAUCUUGACGGUACCUAAUCAGAAAGCCACGGCUAACUACGUG
rnacentral:rRNA from 1 species